rnacentral:rRNA from 1 species
GACGAACGCUGGCGGCGUGCUUAACACAUGCAAGUCGAACGGUGAAGCGCCUUCCUUUUUGGUGGGUGUGGAUGAGUGGCGAACGGGUGAGUAACACGUGAGUAACCUGCCCCCUUCUUCUGGAUAACCGCAUGAAAGUGUGGCUAAUACGGGAUAUUCUGGGUCUGUCGCAUGAUGGGUCUGGGAAAGAUAUUGUUUCGGUGGGGGAUGGGCUCGCGGCCUAUCAGCUUGUUGGUGGGGUGAUGGCCUACCAAGGCGGUGACGGGUAGCCGGCCUGAGAGGGUGGACGGUCACACUGGGACUGAGGCACGGCCCAGACUCCUACGGGAGGCAGCAGUGGGGAAUAUUGCACAAUGGGCACAAGCCUGAUGCAGCGACGCCGCGUGAGGGAUGGAGGCCUUCGGGUUGUGAACCUCUUUCGCCAGUGAAGCAGGCCUGCCUCGUUUGUGGGUGGGUUGACGGUAGCUGGAUAAGAAGCGCCGGCUAACUACGUG